rnacentral:rRNA from 1 species
GCACUUAUCUUUGAUUCUUCGGAUGAAGAGAUUUGUGACUGAGUGGCGGACGGGUGAGUAACGCGUGGGUAACCUGCCUCAUACAGGGGGAUAACAGUUAGAAAUGACUGCUAAUACCGCAUAAGACCACAGAGCCGCAUGGCUCGGUGGGAAAAACUCCGGUGGUAUGAGAUGGACCCGCGUCUGAUUAGGUGGUUGGUGGGGUAACGGCCUACCAAGCCAACGAUCAGUAGCCGACCUGAGAGGGUGACCGGCCACAUUGGGACUGAGACACGGCCCAAACUCCUACGGGAGGCAGCAGUGGGGAAUAUUGCACAAUGGGGGAAACCCUGAUGCAGCGACGCCGCGUGAGCGAAGAAGUAUUUCGGUAUGUAAAGCUCUAUCAGCAGGGAAGAAAAUGACGGUACCUGACUAAGAAGCACCGGCUAAAUACGUGCCAGCAGCCGCGGUAAUACGUAUGGUGCAAGCGUUAUCCGGAUUUACUGGGUGUAAAGGGAGCGUAGACGGCUGUGUAAGUCUGAAGUGAAAGCCCGGGGCUCAACCCCGGGACUGCUUUGGAAACUAUGCAGCUAGAGUGUCGGAGAGGUAAGUGGAAUUCCCAGUGUAGCGGUGAAAUGCGUAGAUAUUGGGAGGAACACCAGUGGCGAAGGCGGCUUACUGGACGA